GAUGAACGCUGGCGGCGUGCCUAAUACAUGCAAGUCGAGCGAACGGACGAGAAGCUUGCUUCUCUGAUGUUAGCGGCGGACGGGUGAGUAACACGUGGAUAACCUACCUAUAAGACUUGGAUAACUUCGGGAAACCGUGGCUAAUACCGGAUAAUAUUUUGAACCGCAUUGUUCAAAAGUGAAAGACGGUCUUGCUGUCACUUAUAGAUGGAUCCGCGCUGCAUUAGCUAGUUGGUAAGGUAACGGCUUACCAAGGCAACGAUGCAUAGCCGACCUGAGAGGGUGAUCGGCCACACUGGAAGUGAGACACGGUCCAGACUCCUACGGGAGGCAGCAGUAGGGAAUCUUACGCAAUGGGCGAAAGCCUGACGGAGCAACGCCGCGUGAGUGAUGAAGGUCUUCGGAUCGUAAAACUCUGUUAUUAGGGAAGAACAUAUGUGUAAGUAACUGUGCACAUCUUGACGGUACCUAAUCAGAAAGCCACGGCUAACUACGUG
rnacentral:rRNA from 1 species